UUGCUUUUUCCACAGAUUCCUUCUUCUUAGGAGAAGCCACUCGGGACACCUUAUCUGAGGAUUCCUUCAAGGCCCCUGGCUUGGGUGAAGCUGCAGAGGGCUUGGACUUGCCAUCACCCUUCUUGACAGGUAUUACAGGAUCACUGGAUGCACACAGGGCAAACGUCAGAGAUGUUGGUUGGUAAAUAUUUCCAUACUGGUAAGUGAACAGCCUCUGUCCUGACCACUCCUGCCAUUCCCUUCUCCCUCAACUCCCUACUCCGCUCCCCCCUGCCCCAAGCACCUCCCCCUCAGACCUCACCACCAUCUGUUCUUGCCCAGCAGGGGAUCUCCAGAACUCUGCUCCACCUCUAAGACUAGUGACCAUCUGGAUGAUCGGUGCCUGUGUGGUUAUGAAAUACUCUGGAUACAACCCCUGGGUACUUGCCAUGCAAAAAUGCCCUUUAAAAAGUAACAAACUAUCACAGGGGAUGGCUCGGAAAUCAUCAACAUCAAGGAGAAGGUAAAAGGACUUGUGGAAUACCUCCUUACUUUCCAUCUUUUCACCUCUACCCAGAGAGUUUCUAUGAAACGAAGGAAAUGACCCCCCCAAAGGAAACAAAGCUGUGCAGAAUUCUGAGGAAGUCAAGGGCCUUGAAAAACAGCAAAGAAAGAGGCUGGUGAAUGGAAAGCUAUGACGUACAAGAGAAAGCAGAAAACGAAAGUCAGCACUGCCAGACAGGUUUUUUUUUCACAGAGGGAAAAUCCGGUUCCUUUGGAGAAGCAACAACGCACUGUGCAUGAGACAAGAACACAGUCUCAGGCUGGAGAGAACCCGUCAUGAAAGAGACAGAUGGAAAGGGUCCGGGAGGAGGAGGAAGAACAAGCGCUACGGCCUUGGAGCAGCACAGCAGAAACAAAGCCCCGAUGUCCCCCCAGAACCGGCUUCCAGACCUGUGCCAGCACGUACACUGGAGAGACAGGGCCUCAAGGGCAAAGACCGGGUCUCACAAGUGCCCGCUCAACCAAGGGACAGGCGAGAGCAACGAGGAGGAGCCAACAAUGUGAGCAGGGACGAGGGUACCUGUGAGUAGGUCCUAGACUCGGGACCUGAGGCUUCCUCUAAAAGGGUUUGCAAAUCAUCACCAUGAUAAAUGCUAGCUAGUAGAGCCCAUUAUACUAAAAGCUCCUGAAUAGGCGGAAACACGUCUUCUCUAUCUCUGUUACCUUUGUUUCCCCAGCACAUCAUCAGGCUCAGUCGAUGUUUGUUGAACCUCACUGAACUUGGCCAGUUAAAUACGUGCUGUCCUCCUGAAGUGGACACUUGGGAAGUGACCAGAGCCCACUAAUACUUCUCAAGCACACUGACUCUGCUACCCUCCCCUUGUUCUUACAAAGACGGGUGGGUGACAUGACCAGAAGGAAUAUUGUUUGGGGCAAAGACAGUCCUUUUCAUUAAUUGCCUUUUCUAAUUAAAUGCAGGCAUACUGGAAGAGGAAGGAACAUAUAGGAAAUAAAUGACUUUACAGCAGAUAAUAUUAAUGAAAUAAGAUUGCAAUUUCUAAACCAUAGCCUACUAACUAACUACAUUUCCUUUUGUGGUUAGAUUACUUGCUUGGCUAAUGAGGAAAUACAGCAGACAGCGCAUCUGUGGCUUUUAGCAAGAUGUUUAACAGGAUCUCUGCACGGUGUGACAGUAGAACUGGGUGGUCCUAGCCAGCCAUAUAAAUUCUGCUGCUCCAUGUCAACCUGGAGGGAGGUCUGCGAUGGGCUCAUUUAUGUCCUGUUGGUAUUGACGUGAAUGAAAGUGGUGAAGGCAUGCUUAUCAAAUCUGUGGACAGCAUAAAAAUAGGAGGCCUAGGCAUUGUGGGGUGGCAGAAUUAAGACAUUUAGGAAAGCCAUUGACAUUGGGAUGAUGAUGAAUAAGUCAACUCUAACAGAGGUAUUCUAAAGGGAUAAAUGUAAAGUCCAAUAAACCAGCUGGGAAAGCAGGAUUGGGAGAUGGGGCUUAUCAACAAUAUCCAUGGAAAAGACUCAGGGAUUUUAGUUGACAGUCAAGUGCAUUUAUCAUAAAGCUAAAGAAGUUUAAAUUUCAAGGCUCCUCAGUGGCCUGGUCCCCUCCCAAAGUCCUGUACUUAAUUGUGUAUUAAUAAUUUUGUUUUCUUUUUCUUAAAGGGAACCCCCCCCCAAACUGUUAAUUACAGAGCUCCUCAGAGCCUGCAUCCCUUCUUCACUGACGUUUAAUUGUGGAUGGUGAUGGUCAAAAGUUAGUUUUAGACUUAUUGAAUAGAAAAUUGUAUUGAAAACUGUAGAAGUCACUGACCCUCACACUCCUAACCUGGUCAGUGACCCCUGGAGUAUGGUGUCCAGUGUGAGUCAUAGCAUUUUAGAGAAACUGGACCAAAAACAAACAAACUGAAAUUGCUCGCUCCUCCUCCUUGGCCUUAACCUCUAAACGCUAGACCUGGGCCCCCUUCUCUUCUAACACAUUCCUCCCUCUAGACUACUUCAUCUAUUUUCUAAUGUGCUGAUGGCUUCCACAUUAAUGUCUCUAGCCCACUCUUAGUUCCCCGAGCUCUGGACUCCUAUAUCUAAUUGUCCGAUAACGCCAAGGCACUGAAACAUGGCCAAGAAUGAGCUCCUGAGUUUCCCCCAUCCCCACCCUACCCCCGUUUCCUGCCAAUGGACAGUGACCAGAGAAUGUAAGGAACUUUUAAUAUCUUGUUUCAUGGAGAACACUGAGUAGAUGAAAAUGAUUAAUCUGGAGGGGAAAAAAAUUGGCAGCACUGGUGAAGGGUGUUAAGACACUGUCAGGUGGAAAAGGGAUCACAUUCCUUCCAUGAAGAUACGAUGAGACAAAUGAGGAAAAACUUUCUAACAGAGAGAAUGAAAAAUGUCCCCAGGAGAUGGUGAUUUCACCAUCCUCAGAUUUCAGGGAGGGAUGGGUUAGCCAGAUGACUGUUCUAUCUGUAGGCUCUGGUUUUGUCGUUGACCUCCAAUGACUCACAAAAGCUGAAGCUCAAAAUGCACUGAUAAUUCUAUUUUUCAGUCCAUUUAUUUUUAGCUAUUCUUGUUAAAAAAAGUGUCAUUUUUGGUUUUGCCAAAUUGUGUUUCUGGUUUCUCUGGACUAGUAUGUUUCAAGGACUAAAUAAUAGGAGCAAGAGUAGACAUCAAACGGCCUUUAAGAUCCCUUAGUUACUGAGUCAUUCUGUACUCAAAACCUCUUCCCAAGGCAACAAUAGGCAAUCACAGCUCUAAAAGCCUGCUAACCAUUGGCCUGCUCCAGUGGUUUCCAAUCCACUUUGGCUAUGGCAUCUUUUCUCCAAAGUCCAGAAUGUAAAAAAGGUAAAGGCCCAGGUACUCUGGUUGGGACAAGGAGAAGUGAGUGAAUUCUACCCUGUGUCUCCCCCUUUUCUUGUCUUCCCCCAGCACCCCUGACACCACUGAUCUAGUCUGUAAGGGAAAGUUCUAGAGAUCUUUUAACGUGUGUUGAGCAUUACUUCCCCAAAGUAUCGGGGUGGGGGUUACGGGGCCGGCAGAGGAGACUAUGACAGAGCCUCUGGCCUUUAAAACGCCUGCCUGGUAUAAUGAAAAUGUGUGCCCUUCCGAACAUGCCUCAGUGACUAGAAUUCAGCCCUUGCACGGAACUCCCAUUCUCCAGUUAAAGCUGUUUCUUUUUCUUCUUUUUCUUCUGUAAUUAGUGGUAAAUUCUGAUAUAUGCACAGUCCCUUGUGCUAAAAUUCUACUUCUGUGGGCUAGUAAAAAUGAUUUAAGCAGCAAUAUUCACAACACUACCUUAUUGACACUGCCUUAUUUAAAGACAGAGAGAGAGGUAUUAUUUGGGGUCCAGAUGGGUGGAUUGUGAUACCUCCAGAUUUAAAAUUCUGGCAAUGACAAACCCUUUUGUUUACAUAUGUCCUCUGUUCUAUUUUACUGUAAAAAAAAAAAAGAAAAAAAAAAGACAAACCAAUGACAUGGGGGUAGAAACCAACCACUAGAAACUAACUGUGGAACUGCACAGGAAUGUAGGAGAGGCACCUGUGUUCACGUAAAUGAGCUGAGGGUUCAGGGCUGAACUGAACCUAGAGCAAGCCAGUUAACCGCCCACCCGGUACUGGGCCACGGGGCUGUUUCCAGGCCUCUGCAGCCCUCUCCCUUGCCCAGGCCAAGGUGCUGAUAGUGGGUGUGACCUCUGAGCUACCAGACAGAUGCCCAGCUGGCCCCGGGCAGAACACGAACCUGGGGACACAAUCUCGUGUAAGACUCCGACAAUACAGUGGUCACACACCCAUCUCAGGGCAGCGGGGAGAGUGAGAAUUAGAGCUCUGGCUUGGGAUCUCCAUGCAAUCAAACAAGGCUGUGAGGGAGCCCUGGACCCUUUCUCACUGUGCGGGGAGCCUGGGCUAUCUGCCUCGGGACCCAGGUGACAUCAUAACUUCUGAAAGCUGGAGAAAAAUGUUCCUUUUUAUUCCUCCCCAGUGAGUGGAGAAACAGUGAUGUCAUCCGACCCGUCUUUCUACACAAAGCCUCCAGGUGAACCUAAUGAAGCUGGGCAGUUUAUUUACAGCUCUUGCCAAUGAUGGAAAGUACACAGAGGCCUCUCUGUGACUCUCGGGGCCAAGGAAGAUUAAAUGCAGAAAGACAGAUGGCCCUUCCCAACAUCCACGAGACUAAGACGCCGCCAUCUCAGGAAGUUCUCAGGAAGAUGGUUUUAAAUAGAUGUGGCAACUCCUCCUGUCAGCACGUCCCUCAACCUCUCCAUGUAGAGACCUGCUAUCAGCUACGGGCAGCCCCAAGCUGCUAUGGUGACAGCCCUGAAUUGUCGCUCUAACUAGGAGACCAAAGGCGCGUUAUUUUGCAAAGAGAAGUUUCCCAACCAGAUAAAUUCGCAAGCAGAAAUAACCAAAUUCAAAUGUUCGAUCUGAUUUUACCAAAUACCACUAGUAUCCUAUAAUUUUCAAAACUUCACAUGUAUCAUUCUUGAAUAAGAUAUAUUCGUUAGAAAUAUUAAUGAUCACGCUUCAGUCCAGCUAUUUUAACCAUCCUUCUCCUGGGGCAUGGACAUGUCCCAUAGAUACACCCCGUUUUCCUACAUGCCUCCCUUUCUUGGGCUAUUCAAGCAGCCCAAGUUCAAACACUGGGGCCAGGCAUCAAAAGUAAGAGAAAUCAGAAAUUAUUUGACCAGGAUAAGUAAGUACAUGCACUGAAAGAGAUCAGGGCAGUUAAAUCCUACCCAAAAUCCAAGAGAUCUUUGGAGUAUUCUUUCAGAAAACAGGAAACCUGGGUUUUCUUUUGGACUCUGUCAUUCCAAGUUUCUCCAUCACCUCUGCCAUCUGUAAAAUGCUGACUGUAACAACCCCCCUCCAUCUGUAUCUCGGGCACAUUCAGAAUGGUUCCAAUUAAUUAUAGAUGAGUGCUCUAAAUUCCUCGGGAGAUGAGCCACAGGACUGCAGGGCACUGCACCACGCGGUUUUGCUUAUUUCAAAGGAGUGCAACACCCCCUCCCGGCAGCCUCCUAUCUCCCACCAGCCUUUCAAAGAUCAGCCUAAGGCUACAACAAUAACCGAGCAACUGUAAAGCUUGGAUACUCCCAGACAGGAUCCUACCUCUUGAUC